rnacentral:rRNA from 1 species
UACGUAGGGUGCGAGCGUUAAUCGGAAUUACUGGGCGUAAAGCGUGCGCAGGCGGCUUUGUAAGACAGAUGUGAAAUCCCCGGGCUCAACCUGGGAACUGCAUUUGUGACUGCAAGGCUAGAGUACGGCAGAGGGGGAUGGAAUUCCGCGUGUAGCAGUGAAAUGCGUAGAUAUGCGGAGGAACACCAAUGGCGAAGGCAAUCCCCUGGGCCUGUACUGACGCUCAUGCACGGAAGCGUGGGGAGCAAACAGG